rnacentral:lncRNA from 1 species
UUAAGGGAUCAAGUAAAGCAGAUAAGUUACAUCAGCUUUCUGCUUCAUUUGAGUUCUGGCAUAAUGGUAUACACCAUACCGAUCUUAGAAACAAAUGCCUUUACGAGAAGAAUGACGAAUGCUGUUGGACAGUUUUUGAUGCAUACCACAACUUGAAACAGUGUAUUCUUGACAGCACAAUUAAUGUUUUUCACCGGCAUAUUGUACCUCAAAUUAAAAGUAGGAAAAAAGUGUUUAUUUU